rnacentral:rRNA from 1 species
GGCUUGCACAGGUGCUGCAUGGCUGUCGUCAGCUCGUGUCGUGAGAUGUUCGGUUAAGUCCGCUAACGAGCGCAACCCUCGCUGUGUGUUAUAUGUGUCACACGGGACUGCCGGUCUUAAGCCGGAGGAAGGUGGGGAUGACGUCAAGUCAGCAUGGCCUUUAUAUCCUGGGCUACACACACGCUACAAUGGUCGGUACAAUAGGUUGUCAAGCCGCGAGGCGGAGCCAAUCCACAAAGCCGGCCUCAGUUCAGAUUGUAGGCUGCAACUCGCCUGCAUGAAGAUGGAGUUGCUAGUAACCGCAGGUCAGCAAUACUGCGGUGAAUACGUUCCCGGGUCUU